rnacentral:lncRNA from 1 species
UGUGGAUUUAACCUCCAAAGAGACUCUGAGGUCCUCCAAAGAGUUGAGGAAAGAUGGGGUCAUGCCCCCCCACUCCCCCAGGCACAGGAACCCCUUCAAUCUCAGAGGAAUGAGGGGCCUGUGGCCCUGGCUCCCUUCCUAGCCCCACCCCUGUAGAAGCUGCUGGGGCAGUAGCUGAGCUGGAGGAACAGACUGGAUGCUACUAGGGUGAGCCUCAGGGUCUAGGCCCCCUGAGAUGCCCACACUGACCAGGCCCACUAAUUCUCAGAUGUCAACCAGAGAGGACCCUUCCUGGAGCCCAAGGAGGCAGGGAGUGUAGAGGGAGAGAAGAGGAGCCAGGACCUGGCUGGCUCCUCCACUGCCCCUGCCUGGUUACCCACCCAGGGCUCAGCACCAGGGUGGUGGUAAAGGCUCUGGCACUGGCCUCCCAUGGGCUGAGCUGAGCUGGGCCCCAGAGCUACCCCCCCCACCACCCCACACACACCUGUGGAGCACACCUCCCCUCCUCCCCACAGAGGGCGGUGUCCAGGAGGGUUUAUGGAUUCUCCCAACAUAUUGUGCCCUCCUCUGCCCCAUCUUGUCCCCAUUCACAACCCCUGCAUCAAUAAGGCUGCACCAACCUCCUCAUAGUCCACUACAGCUCCAUACCCCUCUCAUUUGUCUCCAUCAUUGGGGGUGGAGGUGCCCUGACUUGCUAAUAUCUACAUGCACCCCCCUCUGGGUUCCAGCCACAGGGGCCAGCCCAGGCAGGGCUCAAGGAACCUGCUUUCUGGGUGUGCAAGGUCCUUGGGUCCUGGCCAUCUGAACCCCCUCUGAGAGCCUAGAUCCAAACCCAUAAGCCUUUACAUGGAGUCCCUCAGAGAUGGGCAGCCUGUUGCCCUGGAAACACUCCUCUUGUUUCCUGUCCAUGACCAGGGCCUGCCUUAUGCUGACCUGAAUGACCAUGGGGACUCAGGCACUCAUGGAUGGGUGGGGAAAGCAGCUGGGACCUCGGUUCCUAUGCAAG